rnacentral:rRNA from 1 species
AACGAACGCUGGCGGCAUGCCUAACACAUGCAAGUCGAACGAGACCUUCGGGUCUAGUGGCGCACGGGUGCGUGACGCGUGGGAAUCUGCCCUGGGGUGCGGAAUAACUCGGAGAAAUCCGUGCUAAUACCGCAUAAUGUCUUCGGACCAAAGAUUUAUUGCCCUGGGAUGAGCCCGCGUAGGAUUAGCUAGUUGGUGAGGUAAAGGCUCACCAAGGCGACGAUCCUUAGCUGGUCUGAGAGGAUGAUCAGCCACACUGGGACUGAGACACGGCCCAGACUCCUACGGGAGGCAGCAGUGGGGAAUAUUGGACAAUGGGUGUAAGCCUGAUCCAGCCAUGCCGCGUGCAGGAAGAAGGCCUUCUGGGUUGUAAACUGCUUUUGCCGGGGGAUAAAAGAUCCAUGCGUGGAGAAUUGAAGGUACCCGGUGAAUAAGCCACGGCUAACUACGUGCCAGCAGCCGCGGUAAU